CCCUCCUCCAGGAGCCUUUCUUUCAUGUUGUUACACGUCAGAGUUAAUUACUGGUCUGGGGAAGAGGUUUUCCCACCACUCCCUAUCUCUGGCAGGUUUGCUCUCCCCUAAGACACACACACACCCCAGGGCUCGGCGCCGGAGCCGAGCGGGAUCCAUUAGAAGGAAAACUCCACAAAUCUCUGCGCCGAGCGACAGCUCCUGACAAAAUGAAAGCAAGUAUCUGGUUCAGAUCUGCACUUAAAACAAUCCAGAGGGCCAUUAGCAUUCCUCCCGCGUGAUCCAGAUGGAGUAAUAGCGGCUCUGUGAAUACAAUUAACAUCAGAGCUGAUGCUGCCUCGCGCUCGGGAAGACGCUGGGACGGGAUGGCCACGUUACGGCCGGCGGUGGCUCGAGCUUUGCCCUCUGACGGUCCCUUUGAGCAGCCCCUCACCCGAGGACCAUCUCUCUGUUUGCUGCCUUUCAGGGCCAGCAGCAAUUCCGGCCAGAACCCGGGCCUGUCAGAGCAUCACACAGCUUAACAACCCGCAGCACGUGGCAAAUCAAUGACUUUAAGGCAGAGAUCCCUCCAAAGUGCCAAAACUGGGGAAAAAAGGUCCCACAUCAGAGCGUUUUACCCACCUGUGAGAGCAGCCAGGAUGGAGUUCCCUCCCUUUCCCCCUCAGCCUCAAGGAGGAGGUGGCACUUUGGGGUCAGAGCAGCAGGUAAUAACCCAUCCCUCCCACCUGGCUGCUGGGAGAAAUGAGGCUUCACCCUGGAGGAAAUUAUUUUGCAGGUAUUGUUUUGCUAACAAUAGCAAUUCCGGCUCCUGAGAAUGCUAUUUUGCUUAAUACCUUCUUUCUGCAGAGCGAGGACGUGAUGGAGUAAUAGCCCUGGGACCAGCACGAAGGGGUCUGGCUGGUGACAAGAAAAACAGACAGCUGUAUCCAUCAGAAGAGAAAAAGAAAAUAAGAGCUCCACAUAAGAAUCCCCCAAGACGACGAGGUUUUAAUCUUCAGGAUUAAAUGGUGUUUUGAUUCCUUACCACACAAUAAAUGUAUUUGUGGGGAAAAAGGUGCCUAUUUC
rnacentral:lncRNA from 1 species